CCCCCCACCCCGCCCCCCGAAGCGUGUGCCCAGACCCUACCUGGGCUGAGCAGGAAGGCGCCAAGCAGGAGCAGACCGAGCUCCAAAGGUUUCAUUCCUGAGCGUGGACGGAGGAGGGCGAGCAACUUGGCGUCCAGUUGGUGGUUCCUUCGCCCCCGGGGUCUCCCCCGUUGCCUUUCCUGCCCGUCCCUCGGUCCGUCCGUCUGUCCGGCCGGGACCCUGCCCCCUGCCCUCCUUGCCCACCCCCCACCGCCCCCAAUCCUCCUCGCUCCCUUUCUAAUAUUGGGGUCCGGCUGGGACGGGGCGGCGGGGAUUCAGCGCCCACGGCAAGCCCGGCGUCUCGGAGACCAACUCACUUCUCGCAGACCCGUCCAUCCCCCAAGCUCCCUCGACAUCGCAGACACACAUACACACACACACACAUGCACAACACACACACACACAAUACACACACACACCGCGUCCUCGGGCGGCUCCUCUCCGGGCGGGAGAUAGGCGAGGCGAUCCGGUCGCCGGCGGGGAGGAGGAGGAGGAGGGAGGGAGGAGGAGGAGGGAGGGAGGAAGAGGAGGAGGAAUGGAGGAGGAGGAGGAGGAGGAGGAGGAAGGGAGGAGGAGGAGGAAGAGGAGGGAAGAGGGAAGAGGGAGGGGAGAGGGGAGGAGCGAGGGGGGAGGGGGGAGGAGCAAGGAGGGAGGGGCAUCAGCAUCCAAGAGGCCCUAAGCUCUCAACACCUCCCCCUCCCCUCCUCGUCCCGUCCCCCCACCCCCAAAUCCGAGGGGUGAGGGAAGGGUGCGGGGAGGGGGCUGAUCUUCUUUUGUCUCCCAACAGGAGGACGGACCCCUCGACUGCCGCCUCUGCAUUGGACACCCACGAGUCACAGCAGGUGGACGCCAUCGUGCUGUGACCCCUCUGGAAGGACCAGCAGAGUGAUCCAAGGCAGGCCGGGUGACAGAGAGAAGUCCCAGAGAAGUCUGGUAACCAGGAUGUGUCUGUAGGAGGCGACGACGCAUCUGAGGAGGGGGCGGUUCAGGCUCCCUGAGAACGAGUGGCUUCAGCGGGAGAAGAAGGGAGCACAAGUGGUCGUGAUGCCACUGUUCCAGACUGUGUGUCGCUCAUUUCCAUAUCCUCUCCCAGCCUGCUUUGCUUGUUGUCAUGGUUUUUGGAGUGACAAUGGAAGCGUGUGGUACCAGGGACUGGCAUGGAGCCUGGUGCCCGGGGGGCGGUCCGGUGGAGCUCAGUGUGUGUGUGGGAUUCUCUGGGCCAGGUGGCAUAGGGCCUGGGAUUCCGGAUCCAGCUGCCAGACCUUCAAGGGGCUGACAUAAUAAUACUGAUGACUGUGGUAUUUGUUAAGUGCUUACUCUGCACUGUACUAAGCCCUGGUUCAGAUACACGUUAAUUGGGUUGGACACAAUCCCUUCCCCAGAUAGAGCCCUCAGUUUUAAUCCCAUUUUGCAGAUGAGGGAACUGAAGCACCGAGAAGUGAAGUGACUUGCCCAGAUCUACACAUUUGAUAAGUAGUGGAGCUGGAAUUAAAAUCUGUGACCUCUUGACUCCCAGGCCUGGGUUUCAUCCACUAAGCCAUGCUGCUUCUCUUAUAUUCAUUUAUUAAUUCAUUCAAUCUUAUUUAUUGAGCACUUGCUGUGUGCAGAGCACUGUACUAAGUGCUUGGAAAGUACAUGAAACAGGGCUGAUGGGCUGAGGUGUGGUGCGUGAGGGAGAAUGUGGGCUUCUGGGAAAAGCAAUCUGAGAUGGGAAGCCUGUGUCCCCAGUGGCCAACAGCUGGCUUCUGGCCUACAUUAGAGCCUGUACAAACCGAGUGGAUUUUUUAUUACUGUGAGAAAACCCCCUCUGAUACAUGUGAAACUUUUUUUGUUGGUGUUAGGUGUUCUGGGAAGGGGCAGCUGCAAUUCACAGCUGCUUGAGCUGGUGGUGGUGGUCCCAGUGUAGAUGGGGAAAUGGCUUAAAUACAGUUUGAAAGAAUGCCUGAGCCCAUCUGGAAGAUCGUAGGCUAAACAAUAACUGUAACUGGACUAUGAGCUUGUUGUGGGCAGGGAAUGUGUCUGUGU
rnacentral:lncRNA from 1 species